ACCUACGGGGGGCAGCAGUGAGGAAUAUUGGUCAAUGGUCGGGAGACUGAACCAGCCAAGCCGCGUGAGGGAUGAAGGUACAGAGUAUCGUAAACCUCUUUUGUCAGGGAACAAAGGCGGGGACGCGUCCCCGGAUGAGUGUACCUGAAGAAAAAGCAUCGACUAACUCCGUGCCAGCAGCCGCGGUAAUACGGAGGAUGCGAGCGUUAUCCGGAUUUAUUGGGUUUAAAGGGUGCGCAGGCGGUCUAUUAAGUCAGCGGUCAAAGCCCGGGGCUCAACCCCGGCCCGCCGUUGAAACUGGCAGG
rnacentral:rRNA from 1 species